rnacentral:rRNA from 1 species
CGGCCCCCUGGACGAAGACUGACGCUCAGGUGCGAAAGCGUGGGAGCAAACAGGAUUAGAUACCCUGGUAGUCACGCUGUAAACGAUGUCGAUUUGGAGGUUGUGCCCUUGAGGCGUGGCUUCCGGAGCUAACGCGUUAAAUCGACCGCCUGGGGAGUACGGCCGCAAGGUUAAAACUCAAAUGAAUUGACGGGGGCCCGCACAAGCGGUGGAGCAUGUGGUUUAAUUCGAUGCAACGCGAAGAACCUUACCUACUCUUGACAUCCAGAGAACUUUCCAGAGAUGGAUUGGUGCCUUCGGGAACUCUGAGACAGGUGCUGCAUGGCUGUCGUCAGCUCGUGUUGUGAAAUGUUGGGUUAAGUCCCGCAACGAGCGCAACCCUUAUCCUUUGUUGCCAGCGGUUCGGCCGGGAACUCAAAGGAGACUGCCAGUGAUAAACUGGAGGAAGGUGGGGAUGACGUCAAGUCAUCAUGGCCCUUACGAGUAGGGCUACACACGUGCUACAAUGGCGUAUACAAAGAGAAGCGACCUCGCGAGAGCAAGCGGACCUCAUAAAGUACGUCGUAGUCCGGAUUGGAGUCUGCAACUCGACUCCAUGAAGUCGGAAUCGCUAGUAAUCGUAGAUCAGAAUGCUACGGUGAAUACGUUCCCGGGCCUUGUACACACCGCCCGUCACACCAUGGGAGUGGGUUGCAAAAGAAGUAGGUAGCUUAACCUUCGGGAGGGCGCUUACCACUUUGUGAUUCAUGACUGGGGUGAAGUCGUAACAAGGUAACCA